CGCAAAACCACCAGACUCCGGGAAUAGCUGAAAAUGGACUUUUAAUGACAACCGCGACAAGCCCAACAAAUAACAGCCCUGGUGAGCAGGCUCAAUAAGAUACUACGUCCAUCAGCUGCCACAGACGGUGGGGAAGGUGCAGCUAAAACCAACAAAGGGCGCUCACGCACUCAUAUUUUAAUUUUUGCACCCACACAAGGCAAAUGUGCUUUUUUUUUUUUUUUUACUCUUUAUGGAGCAAGAAAAUAUGCAUGUGUGAAGUGUGCGUAAUCUCAAUCGGUAAAACAAAAAUAUAAAUAUAAAAGUAAUGUAAUGGCAUUGUUUGGAGCUUACGAUCAGGGGAUGCUUUGAGAAUAAUUGUCAAUUUCUGUCUAUGUGAAGCCCUUUGAGACUGCUUGUGAUUUAGGGCUAUACAAAUAAACUUGACUUGACUUGA